AGGCCAGUGCUAAUUUUUACAGCACAGUGUCCCUCUCAGUGCACUGGGGGAUUUGGAUCCACACACAACCACAGAGUAAGCACAAAAAACCAUCCAUUUCUUUUCGUUUGUAUAAAAAAAAUUAAAUGCAUAUUAAGUGAAGUUUAAGACUUUUUUCUCUGCCAGCAGAGAGGAGCCACGCUUCUUGCCAUUUUAGUAAUGAGAACAGGCCCCACCGCUGUCCUUUUAACACUUCAAACAGCUUAAACAAAUAGCCACUAUAAACACUGAAAGAGAGCGGACUUUGUAAUUUAAUUUUGAAAGAAUAUUUGAAUAGAACUGAGGGCAAAAAGUGAGCACCUGAUCAUUUGCCCAGCAAAGUCUAGUAGAUAUGUAGUUUUCUUAGCACAAUUCAUCUCAGACCUGUUUCACAAAGGUGCAUGUUUCCUUUGUCUUGAAAGAUCUUCUUGAGAGUCACUGAAUCCACAGAUGGUUUGAAAUUUAUAGAAGCAGGAGGCUCUUGGCAGAUAAGCCAUACAAUAAAAAUGAGGAACAACAGACCUGUUACCAACUGACGGGCUGAAUAUUUUUCCAAAAAACUCAGUUUUGUGAAAAGCAUGCAAAGCAAUAGUUUGUCACAUAAAUCAACUUUGACAGCAGUGACCACAACAGCAGCUGCACAGGGGCGGUGGCAGCAGCAGAUGGAUGGCAGCAGUCGCAGGGUGAUGCAAUACAGUUUGUACCUCUUGUCAUUUUAAGUGGUGGUCCUCCCAGGCGAAUGUUGCUGCAGGUGCAUCAGCUACACAAUCAGCUGAUGCCGUUAUCUCACUUUCGUUUUAGAUCUCGAACUCCAGAUCACUUGCACCAAAAUCGGAAUUUGCAGCAAGACGACACCCACUGAAGGCAAUUGACACCACCCCUAUAAAAGAAUGGAUGCCCCAGAGAAUGGCGUCUCAGAUCGGACCCACAAUAACACUGUAAUCCCGAUUGAUUUCUUUUACAGAAAAUAAAGACCUCUUUUAGUUUU